GAAUUUAAGUGGUCAAAAUAGUCAACUAAAUCUUCUCUCGAGAAAGUUAUAGCCAAUGAGUGCACUUUAUUUUGUAUGAGGUUCCCUCUUCAUCUUUUAACCAUCUUUGCUUGUAGCUUUUGCUUUGGUCAUUAUUACAUGUUUCCAGAUGUCCACCACCACCAUGAGACCCCCGUACAAAAUAUAACAGAAUCCUUAGGACCAUUCUUUCUCACGACACAACUCAAGGAGAACAAACUCAGAAAAUCCAUGGAGAUCUGGAGGCUUUCUUUGAUGCUACAACAUCGACACGAGUUGCUUUUCCAUCCAAUGUGGGUAAGAACAUCUACAUUUCCUUUGCUUUUCUCCUCCUCCCCUGUUUCUAGCAUUUUGUCAGGAAAGAAGGGGAUCUCUGGUUCAUGACAGGAAUGGAGAGGGCAGAAGAAGCUGCAAUAAUGUGAGUCAUUUAGGUAUCCUGAUUCUCCUUUUAUCUAUGGUGGCCUUUUCUUUGCGUUUUUUUGUUGCCCAGAAGAACUAUGAAGGUCGAGAAAUACUGAAAUCUUCAUUUUAGAGCU